CAUCGGAGACAACGGAACUACAAUUAAUGGGUGGGGGGUGGGGUUUACAAAAGAAGUUUGAAGAAAACAACAACAACAAAAAAAGAAGUUUGAGAUUUCGCUACCGAGAGGUUGUCUUACUUCCAGCCUGGUGACUACACAGACUCCUGGGACAUGUGUACAGCUCCAGGCAACACAAGGGAAAAUUCUCAAGUGACUGAUGAUGUGUUUAUUCAUUAUCUUCUUGCAGCAUUCUUUGUGUAGAGCAAAGGGGGAAGUGUGCCCAUUUACCCAGGACUUAACAUGUGUUGACUAUAAAACAAUUGAAUAAUUAUGGGAUUUCUAAACUCUCAUGUCCUGUGUCCUCCUUGAGAACCAGAAUUUUCAGUGUGGCAGUCGGACAGGAGAUACAGAUGUUAUAUAGAAGAAGUUAAAAACCCUUGAGCCCUGAGUUUGAAUAGGAACUAUCAAUAUGAACUAAUAAGAUGUUUUAUUUUUCUAUCCCUAUCCACUGAAAAGAUCUAGAAACAAUGACCAAUCCAGGAUCAAUGAAUACUCCUGCCACCCAUAUAUUCAGGAUGAUAUCCCUACAAUUUAGUUGUAAUUCCCGAUUGACCUGAGAGGAGGUUAGUGGAGCUUCCACUUACUCCUCCGCCAUCUUGGGUAUCUCUCCUGCAAUCCAUAUCUUAAAAUACCAUCUCCCACAGAAACAAACCAGAACUUGGAGAAAUGGCUGAUUCCAGGUCCUGGGCAGGAAAUGUUCAAGAUGAGUGUGGAACAACCUAUCAUACCAGAUAGAGAAAAGAUAGUAAGUACUAUCAGGGUAGUGUCAAAAGGACUCAGGAGCUAAGUUCUCAUGACCAAAGAUGGGAUAAUUUGACCAUUAAUAAGGAUAAUUUAGUAAGCAUUAUGUUUAGGAGCCCUGGCUGGGUAGCUCAGUUUGUUGGAGCAUUGUCCUGAUACACCAAGGUUGCAGGGUCCGUCCCCUUCAGGGCACAUAUGGGAAUCAACCAGUGAAUGCAUAAGUCAGUGGAACAACAAAUCGAUGUUUCUCUUUCUCUCCUUCCCUUCCUCUCUCUCUAAAAUCAAUCUGUAAAUAAAAAACAAACAAAAUCAUUAUGUUUAAAUUCAUGAGUUCGUAAUACGGUUUAUGUAUAUGUGUGUGCAACUAACUGGUCACCUUUGGAAGGAUAAGAAAUUAUUUUGAAGAUGGUACAUAAGGAAAAAGAAGCAGUUAUCCUACUGUUCCUGUAUAAACUGUACCCCAGGGUGAUGAGUAGAAGAUAAAGGGGGUGUCCCAUUGUAAAAGUAUUCCAACUGUUAUGAUAGAGCUUAGAUAUGGCUGCUUUGAAAUCCCUAAUAAAUUAAUGAGUAUAAGCAUUGAACAUCUAGACCUGUAUUCUUCAAUGGUUAAAUUGAGGUAAAAUAAUGGAAUGGAGGGGGAACCUGUAGGUCAAAAGAGACUUAAAAAGCAUGUGAAAUUUUUGAAAAAUGGGCAAGACUAAACUAUAAUGUCUAGGGGUGCACAUUUUUUAGUGAUAAAACUACAAA